UAGAUAUUUCCAUGCACUUUUAGUUUAUUACAUUGACGAAAGAAAACGCGGAUUUGAUCCAACGCCAUUGUCCCAACGCCGUAUUAAAAAACCGACCCGUAAGCCACUUUUUAAACACUAGGAGGACAUCUGCAUUAUAUGGAUAGAGGACUACUUGGGCAGGAGGCAGCACGGGAGUUGCUCAUUGCCAUCUCCAACUCUCAACCAGAAAAAGUUGAAUCAGAUCAGGAAUCAGAUCAGGCUGAAAGUUCAAACGGUUGGGAAGCUGGUGCAGUGAUUAAUGGGGACAGAACUGAGCUCUUCAGGUCUCAACUGAUUUCAAUUUCGUAUCCCCGGGCUCCAAAUCCUCCAAAUGAUGGGCCUGUGUGCAAUGGCCAUGCAUGAUUGAUAUGAUGGGAGCUAAUGUCUGCUAUGGAUGACUGUCAAUGAAGCAUUUCCAUUUCCAUUUCCAUUUCUGUUGUAGCAUCUUGAACUUUCUCAUGCUCUAGUUAUGCUGACCAGAAAGGCGAAUACCAAAAUGUAGUAUUGAACUUGCAUGUGGAUGGAUACUUGUAACUUUGUCCAUUGUCUCACAUAAUUCUGUUGAUGUCAUUUGUAUGUUACAGUGCACCAUAUUUCUCUUGUUAAAUCCUUACAGAUUCCAGUAUAGUUUUU